AGAGUUUGAUCAUGGCUCAGAACGAACGCUGGCGGCAUGCCUAACACAUGCAAGUCGAACGGGAUCCGAGCUUCGGUUCGGUGAGAGUGGCGGACGGGUGAGUAACGCGUGGGAACCUGCCCAGUGGUGGGGGAUAACUGCGGGAAACUGCAGCUAAUACCGCAUGAGCCCGAGAGGGGAAAGAUUUAUCGCCAUUGGAGGGGCCCGCGUUCGAUUAGGUAGUUGGUGAGGUAACGGCUCACCAAGCCUUCGAUCGAUAGCUGGUCUGAGAGGAUGAUCAGCCACACUGGGACUGAGAUACGGCCCAGACUCCUACGGGAGGCAGCAGUGGGGAAUAUUGGACAAUGGGGGCAACCCUGAUCCAGCAAUGCCGCGUGAGUGAUGAAGGCCUUCGGGUUGUAAAGCUCUUUUGCCAGGGACGAUGAUGACGGUACCUGGAGAAUAAGCCCCGGCUAACUUCGUG
rnacentral:rRNA from 1 species